rnacentral:lncRNA from 1 species
UUUUGACAAAAUGGUCUUAUAUAUAAGGACGGAGGGAGUAUUAUUUUGUGCCAUAUGAACAGCCUACAUGAAUUUUUAGAACAAAAAAAAUAAAAAUAAAAACCCUCACGUGACCGUUGUACAACCGUUGUAUUCUUCUUCCCCAUAACUCACCCGUUCUCUUUUUUCUCCAUAACCAUUCCUCUUCUUCUCCAUAACCAUUUUUCUUCUUCACACCAAAAUCUUCAUUCAUCCUCCUUCUUCACUCCAUUUUUACUCGAUUCAAACCCAUAAAAACUCAAUUUUUACGGAUUCUCUUCCAUUCAAACCCUUUUCACUCGAUUCAAACCCUUUUCCGUACUAUUUUGUUAUGGAUGGCUUGACCUAGUGAUUCUUCAGCUUCAUCUUCUCCUGGAAAACGAAAAGGUAAUGUUCUAUGUUAUUGUGGAGUUGAUUCUCCGUCGUUAACUUUAUGGACAGAUGAUAAUCAUGGGAGAAGAUUUUUUAGGUCUGGAAAAUACAAUGGGUAUUUAAGAAAAUGUAAAAAUUUUAAUUUUAAUAAUAAGUGCUGGUAAAAUUUUAAUUUUAAUAAUAUCCACCGUGGCAAAAAAAAAAAAAAAAGCGACAUGUCAUCUUUGACCGAGUCAAAAUCAAGGAGAUCAUGGUUUUGUAAAGGGGUUAAAAUUUGGGAGGCCAAAAGUGCUAUUUCUAAAACAGGGGGAUCAAAAUCGCAACUUUGAAAACUUGGGGGCCAAAAGUGUAUUUUAGCCUAUUAUUUUCAUUUCACUUUUAUAUUUAUUUUUCUCAAUUAUAAAAUUGUAAUAUGAUAUCAGAGUCUAUUCUUUCCGGUCAUCCAUCAUAUAUAUACACGUACCAGACCAAUAGUGUUGGACAUGAGGAAGUGCAUUGGAAAAAACAAAAUCCCACAUUGAUUAAAAAAAGAUAGAGCUUGAUUAAAAUUUAUGAAAGCUCUUAAAAAAAAAAAUAUGAAAGCUUAGCAUUAUUAUUGGUAAUUUAAUAAGUUAUUAUUGAAAAAUGAAACUUUUUAUUUUACUUGUGUUGAUUACACAAUUUUCAAUGCAAUAACUAUUAAUCCCUCCGUCCCAAAUUGUAUGUCAUUUUUAAAAAAAUAUUUGUCCCAAAUUGUAUGUCACUUUACAAUACCAAUGAAACAUUAAUGUUACUUUUCCUAUUAUAUCCUUAACUAUUUAUUACUCUUUCUUCUUUUAAUUCUUUCAUUUAUCUUUCUUAUAUCAUUUAUUAAGGAUAAUUUUGUAAAACAACUCAUAAUAUCUCUUUCCCACACAAUAUUAAUUACAUUUCUUAAUAUGUGUGAAAUGCCCAAAACGUCACACAGUAACUAUUUAUUACUCUUUCUUCUUUCAAUUCUUUCAUUUAUAACUUUCUUUUUAUAUAAAAAAAAAAAAAAAAAAAAACUACUAUAUAAUUUAUUUUUUAGUAUCCUUAACGAGUACUGCAAGCACCGGUCAUCAUUUCCCCAUAUAUAUAUAUAUAUAUAGACACACCUAUGAUCCUCCAAAAAAACAUAUAUAAUCCAUGUUAUUUCUCUAAAAAGGCCUUGUGGUUAUGUCACGGAUUAUGAUAUUGUCAAGCAGAAGGAAAAUAACUUGAGGAAAUAAUAUAGAAAUCUAGACCAUUGAAAUAUAAAGGAAAAAAUAAACAUUGGAAUUUACUGAAAAAAGGGAGAAAAGUGAUUUUAAGGGUUGAGAUGUGAAAAAUAAGAAAAUAUGAGAGAAAAAAAUUGAGAAAAUCUAUUUUUUUAUAUCACACUUGUUGAACAGAAGUGAGUUUUAGAAUAAUAUCUCUAAGGUUUUGAUAAUAACAAUGUAUGAAUGAACAAUUUGAUACUCUAAUGUGCGUGUUUAAGUAUGCAUGACCAUAUAAUUAAAUUCUGACAUCAAUAUCAAGUUUUUGGUUCUGAUACAUCAAGUUCUGAGCACAAGAAAAGCAUUAUGGUACUAAAAAAAACAUUGAAAACUUCUAAAGACUUGGAAGAUAAUUUGAAGAAUGGUCAACAUAAAGUUAAAAUUCUGAUUAAAAGAUAUCUCGAAGACUCUGAUGAGAACAAACUCUAAUGGAUUCAACCUCUGGAGGAAUCAAGCCACCAAGCUCUGAUGACGUCAGCGUUCCGAGUGACUCUGAUUAGUUUUGUCUUCUUCUUAUGGAAGGUCGCUUUCAACUUCUGAUAGUACAAUUUGUUUUCUUUUGACCACGUGUAGAAAGAAAAAAAAAAUCAAAGGCAAACAAAUCAUUCAAUAAGAAACAAAAGAUUUAUCAAAGUGUUGUUCACUGACAAGUAAAAUCUGAUCAAAAACUUAUGCAUGAAUGCAUGUAUGCAUGGUUGUUUUGUUUAGUUACAAAGAACAAGGUG